CGCCUUUUGAUAAAAUAUAAAAGGUCCAGCCUGCCCAGUGACAAAGUUAAACGGCCGCGGUACCCUAACCGUGCAAAGGUAGCGCAAUCACUUGUUCUUUAAAUAAGGACUAGUAUGAACGGCACCACGAGGAUUAUACUGUCUCCCCCCUUCAAUCAGUGAAACUGAUCCCCCCGUGAAGAAGCGGGAAUAAACCUAUAAGACGAGAAGACCCUGUGGAGCUUUAAACCUACACCACCCAUCUCAAAAUACGCCAUAACAAACAAAUGGGCUUACGUACUAGUUUUAGGUUGGGGCGACCACGGAGUAAAACUAAACCUCCGCGAUGAAAAGACUUUACUUUCUAAUCCAAGAGCAACAUCUCUAAGAAUCAACAAACUGACAUAAUUGACCCAAACACUUUGAUCAACGAACCAAGUUACCCCAGGGAUAACAGCGCAAUCCAUUUCAAGAGCCCCUAUCGACAAAUGGGUUUACGACCUCGAUGUUGGAUCAGGGUAUCCCAGUGGUGCAGCCGCUACUAAAGGUUCGUUUGUUCAACGAUUAAAACCCU
rnacentral:rRNA from 1 species